AUGCUCCUUCAAGUAGGGCAGAAGGACUUUCUGUUUCUUUUUCUUCUCUUUACAGGAGGACUUUUUUAUCACAUGGAUAAAAGAGGAAACAUCAAAAGUCUCCAGGUCACUUUGCCAUUGUACAAAUCUCAAAAUUUCACAAGCCUACCCUCGUCAUUUAUGGAAAAUUUGGGAGAAAAGACUUGGUACAUGUAAAUGGAAGAAAACAGGUGUAUCUAUUGUCAUUUCCAUCAGAGUGCCUUUGGAAGACUACAUAACCAACAGUUCCCAUUUCACCACAAUUUCUAGUAAGACAGCAUGACUGACUGUGGCUCAAUGUUCUGUUUCGUAAUGGGUAAGGACAGACAGGGUGCUUCUUGGGCUUUCACCUUUUGGAAGCCACUAAACUGAAGCAAAUUUGGAUUUUCCACAAAGAGGAAGUCUUAUUAUAAGUUCCAUCAUACAUUUGUCGCCAGGUGAUGUGCAAAUAUCAGUGCAAAAGGCCCAUGACAGCAACUCAUAGAGCUUUGAUGUGAAGUCACUCACACUUAGGGCCUGCUGGCGUUGUCUAAUUAUGUGAUACCCAUACUUAGGAAAUGUCAAGAAGGUCUGAACUCCUAUAGUAUCUACCUCAAUGGAAUGCUUGUAAAUCAGAGUCUAGAAAAAAGGCUUCAGCGUGGGCAGUGCAAAAACUUGGCCUAUUUCCAUUCCCUGUGCAUGAAAAGAGGGAAAUAAUAUUUUUUUCUGGAUUAGUACAAUAUCAGUUAUAUAAGAUCAUUCAUGUGAAAUGUUUCCAGUACUGUUUUGUUGCUGGAAGUCAGCACCAGGCUGAUUUAUCUGAGCAGCAGAGUCUGAGCUAUACCUCAAAGGUCUGGGCUGUCUUCUGAAAACAAUGGGGAAAAGAUUUUCUGCAGCACUUUCCAAAACCUCUGAGGAUGGGGCAAGCCCUCCAUUCAUCUUAGGCAAAAAGAGAAAUAGGGAAUGAAAAUUUCUCCUGGUAAUGGCUUCAGUGGAUAAGGAGAACAUAUUUAAUAUAACUUUAAAAAUUUAUGUGACUAGGCAGUGUUAGAAUUGAUCUGUACAACUGUGAUAUAGAUCUCACAUGUUCUACAUUUCAGAGUCUAAAAUGACUUCCAAGUGACCCCUAGGAAGGUCCAUAUGAAAGUGGAUAAUUUACAAAAAAUGAUCCACUUGAAAGAAACCCUUACAUAUAGUUCUUAAUUCCUAAUCUUCAGCAAAUCAAAAAUUAAAAGAAGGCUACUUGUGCUUUAUAUUUUUUUAUAUAGAUUCACCUUAGGUUUCUUCUGAAUGGUAAGCUUUCUCAGAAACUUGAUUUAGGGGCACCUGCGUGGCUCAGUUGGUUGAGUGUCCAACUUCACCUCAGGUCAUGACCUUAGGCUUGUGAAUUCGAGCCCCGGGCUCUGUGCUAACAGCUCAGAGCCUGGAACCUGCUUAGGCUUCUGUGUCUCCCUCUCUCUUUGCCCCUCCCUCGAUCAUACUCUGUCUCUCUCUCUCUUUCUCUCUCAAAAAUAAACAUUGAAAAAAAUUUUUUUAAUAAAUAAAA
rnacentral:lncRNA from 1 species